GCCCACGGAGGCACAUCCACCCGACUUGUAAUCGGGCGGUUACGGGUUCAAGUCCCGUCGUCGGCU
rnacentral:tRNA from 1 species